rnacentral:lncRNA from 1 species
UGAACCAAAACUCUUAACCUGACUUGAAAUCUAACCCUAACUCAAGAUUCGAGCCUUGAGACUUAGGAUCUAAGAUGCAACCCUUGGCCUCGACCCCGUACCUAGGACACGAGAAUCAAAACUCGAUCCUGACACAAGCCGCGAGACCCUUCGACACUAACUCAAGAUUCAACUAGGAACUCGAGCACUUACCCCCGAGAACGAUUCGAUAUCUAACUCUGACCUUAAC